rnacentral:rRNA from 1 species
AGCGAACGCUGGCGGCAGGCCUAACACAUGCCAGUCGAACGAACUCUUCGGAGUUAGUGGCGGACGGGUGAGUAACACGUGGGAACGUGCCUUUUGGUUCGGAAUAACUCAGGGAAACUUGUGCUAAUACCGAAUGUGCCCUUCGGGGGAAAGAUUUAUCGCCAUUAGAGCGGCCCGCGUCUGAUUAGCUAGUUGGUGAGGUAACGGCACGCCAAGGCGACGAUCAGGAGCUGGUCGGAGAGGAUGACCAGCCACACUGGGACUGAGACACGGCCCAGAAUCCUACGGGAGGCAGCAGUGGGGAAUCUUGCGGAAUGGGCGAAAGCCUGACGCAGCCAUGCCGCGUGAAUGAUGCAGGUCUUAGGAUUGCAAAAUUCUUUCACCGGGGACGAUAAUGACGGUACCCGGAGAAGAAGCCCCGGCUAACUUCGUG